rnacentral:rRNA from 1 species
UGGGGAAUAUUGCACAAUGGGGGAAACCCUGAUGCAGCGACGCCGCGUGAGCGAUGAAGGCUUUCGAGUCGUAAAGCUCUGUCCUAUGGGAAGAUAAUGACGGUACCAUAGAAGAAAGCCCCGGCUAACUACGUGCCAGCAGCCGCGGUAAUACGUAGGGGGCUAGCGUUAUCCGGAUUUACUGGGCGUAAAGGGUGCGUAGGUGGUCUUUCAAGUCGGUGGUUAAAGGCUACGGCUAAACCGUAGUUAGCCUCCGAAACUGGAAGACUUGAGUGCAGGAGAGGAAAGUGGAAUUCCCAGUGUAGCGGUGAAAUGCGUAGAUAUUGGGAGGAACACCAGUAGCGAAGGCGGCUUUCUGGACUGCAACUGACACUGAGGCACGAAAGCGUGGGUAGCAAACAGG